AUGUCACAUGCGCUUUGACUCCAGCUUUUUACGGUCACAGGGAAACAGUUUCAACGUUAUAACAUUAUGCAGAGAAAUAAUUGUGUAAUUUCAAACAUCCCCCUCUACUACGGUUUAUCGUUCACAGGCAUUGAGACAGGAUAUUCGUUUCGACCAUCGGAAACACUGGACAUUGUGUGAAAUAAAGCAAUAUGCCGCGUAUGAAAUAUAGUACGAGUAACAACAAUUCCGCUCCAAACGAUGUACGUUUGAUUGAAUACAAUUAUGAAUAUCUAAUACAAUCAUUAAAGAGAAAAAGCUUGAGACGACGCGGCCGGAUACCGAUAAAAAGGAUAAAUAGAACGUACGCUUUGAAAAGGAAGAGAGAGAAAAAGAAAAGGAGAUAUUUCCUGUAUGCAGAGAUUUCUGAACAACGUGGAUUCGAAGAAAUUAUGAAAUUAUUUUACCGGUACUCGUUACGAUGACUAACCAGUGGACAGAGGUUCCCCAUGAUGCUCAACUAUUAGAAACUGCGAACAUGGUUAUUUUCACGUUCACGUUUUUCUUCGUUUCUACCUUUAAUUAUUGUACGAAUUUAAUUAUGGCAAAAUA